GGGGAUGUAGCUCAAUUGGUAGAGCGAUAUGCUCCUUAGAGGUUCAGGGUUCAAUUCCUUGCAUUUUUA
rnacentral:tRNA from 1 species